CUCCUUGGACCACAUGGGAGCAGGGAGUCACUUAACCCACAGACUAAUACCUUGCCAUUAGAAAAAAGGAGAAAGUAAAAUGGGCCUGGCCAUGUAAACCAAGAAACUACUAGUGCUGGUGGCUCACACCUGUAAUCCUAGCUACUCAGGAGAGCUACUCACUGAGAUCUG